rnacentral:rRNA from 1 species
GGGUUGUGAGGUUAAGCGACUAAGCGUACACGGUGGAUGCCCUGGCAGUCAGAGGCGAUGAAGGACGUGCUAAUCUGCGAAAAGCGUCGGUAAGGUGAUAUGAACCGUUAUAACCGGCGAUGUCCGAAUGGGGAAACCCAGUGCAAUUCGUUGCACUAUCGUUAACUGAAUACAUAGGUUAACGAGGCGAACCGGGGGAACUGAAACAUCUAAGUACCCCGAGGAAAAGAAAUCAACCGAGAUUCCCCCAGUAGCGGCGAGCGAACGGGGAGCAGCCCAGAGUCUGAAUCAGCUUGUGUGUUAGUGGAACGGUCUGGAAAGUCCGACGGUACAGGGUGAUAGUCCCGUACACCAAAAUGCACAGGUUGUGAACUCGAAGAGUAGGGCGGGACACGUGGUAUCCUGUCUGAAUAUGGGGGGACCAUCCUCCAAGGCUAAAUACUCCUGACUGACCGAUAGUGAACCAGUACCGUGAGGGAAAGGCGAAAAGAACCCCGGCGAGGGGAGUGAAAAAGAACCUGAAACCGUGUACGUACAAGCAGUGGGAGCACCUUCGGGUGUGACUGCGUACCUUUUGUAUAAUGGGUCAGCGACUUAUAUUCUGUAGCAAGGUUAACCGUAUAGGGAGCCGCAGGGAAACCGAGUCUUAACUGGGCGUUAAGUUGCAGGGUAUAGACCCGAAACCCGGUGAUUCAGCCAUGGGCAGGUUGAAGGUUGGGUAACACUAACUGGAGGACCGAACCGACUAAUGUUGAAAAAUUAGCGGAUGACUUGUGGCUGGGGGUGAAGGCCAAUCAAACCGGGAGAUAGCUGGUUCUCCCCGAAGCUAUUUAGGUAGCGCCUCGUGAAUUCAUCUUCGGGGUAGAGCACUGUUUCGGCUAGGGGGUCAUCCCGACUUACCAACCCGAUGCAAACUACGAAUACCGAAGAAUGUUAUCACGGGAGACACACGGCGGGUGCUAACGUCCGUCGUGAAGAGGGAAACAACCCAGACCGCCAGCUAAGGUCCCAAAGUCAUGGUUAAGUGGGAAACGAUGUGGGAAGGCACAGACAGCCAGGAUGUUGGCUUAGAAGCAGCCAUCAUUUAAAGAAAGCGUAAUAGCUCACUGGUCGAGUCGGCCUGCGCGGAAGAUGUAACGGGGCUAAACCAUGCACCGAAGCUGCGGCAGCGACACUAUGUGUUGUUGGGUAGGGGAGCGUUCUGUAAGCCUGCGAAGGUGUGCUGUGAGGCAUGCUGGAGGUAUCAGAAGUGCGAAUGCUGACAUAAGUAACGAUAAAGCGGGUGAAAAGCCCGCUCGCCGGAAGACCAAGGGUUCCUGUCCAACGUUAAUCGGGGCAGGGUGAGUCGACCCCUAAGGCGAGGCCGAAAGGCGUAGUCGAUGGGAAACAGGUUAAUAUUCCUGUACUUGGUGUUACUGCGAAGGGGGGACGGAGAAGGCUAUGUUAGCCGGGCGACGGUUGUCCCGGUUUAAGCAUGUAGGCUGGUUGUCCAGGCAAAUCCGGAUAAUCAAGGCUGAGGUGUGAUGACGAGGCACUACGGUGCUGAAGUAACAAAUGCCCUGCUUCCGUGAAAGCCUCUAAGCAUCAGGUAACAUUAAAUCGUACCCCAAACCGACACAGGUGGUCAGGUAGAGAAUACCAAGGCGCUUGAGAGAACUCGGGUGAAGGAACUAGGCAAAAUGGUGCCGUAACUUCGGGAGAAGGCACGCUGGUGUGUAGGUGAAGCCCCUGCGGGUGGAGCUGAGACCAGUCGAAGAUACCAGCUGGCUGCAACUGUUUAUUAAAAACACAGCACUGUGCAAACACGAAAGUGGACGUAUACGGUGUGACGCCUGCCCGGUGCCGGAAGGUUAAUUGAUGGGGUUAUCCGUAAGGAGAAGCUCUUGAUCGAAGCCCCGGUAAACGGCGGCCGUAACUAUAACGGUCCUAAGGUAGCGAAAUUCCUUGUCGGGUAAGUUCCGACCUGCACGAAUGGCGUAAUGAUGGCCAGGCUGUCUCCACCCGAGACUCAGUGAAAUUGAACUCGCUGUGAAGAUGCAGUGUACCCGCGGCAAGACGGAAAGACCCCGUGAACCUUUACUAUAGCUUGACACUGAACAUUGAGCCUUGAUGUGUAGGAUAGGUGGGAGGCUUUGAAGCGUGGACGCCAGUCUGCGUGGAGCCAACCUUGAAAUACCACCCUUUAAUGUUUGAUGUUCUAACGUUGGCCCCUUACCGGGGUUGCGGACAGUGUCUGGUGGGUAGUUUGACUGGGGCGGUCUCCUCCCAAAGCGUAACGGAGGAGCACGAAGGUUAGCUAAUCCUGGUCGGACAUCAGGAGGUUAGUGCAAUGGCAUAAGCUAGCUUGACUGCGAGCGUGACGGCGCGAGCAGGUGCGAAAGCAGGUCAUAGUGAUCCGGUGGUUCUGAAUGGAAGGGCCAUCGCUCAACGGAUAAAAGGUACUCCGGGGAUAACAGGCUGAUACCGCCCAAGAGUUCAUAUCGACGGCGGUGUUUGGCACCUCGAUGUCGGCUCAUCACAUCCCCGGGCUGAAGUAGGUCCCAAGGGUAUGGCUGUUCGCCAUUUAAAGUGGUACGCGAGCUGGGUUUAGAACGUCGUGAGACAGUUCGGUCCCUAUCUGCCGUGGGCGCUGGAGAAUUGAGGGGGGCUGCUCCUAGUACGAGAGGACCGGAGUGGACGCAUCACUGGUGUUCGGGUUGUCAUGCCAAUGGCACUGCCCGGUAGCUAAAUGCGGAAGAGAUAAGUGCUGAAAGCAUCUAAGCACGAAACUUGCCCCGAGAUGAGUUCUCCCUGAGACUUUAAGUCUCCUGAAGGAACGUUGAAGACGACGACGUUGAUAGGCCGGGUGUGUAAGCGCAGCGAUGCGUUGAGCUAACCGGUACUAAUGAACCGUGAGGCUUAACCUUACAACGCCGAAG